CUGUCUCAGUUCUGCCUCCCCAUUGGCUGCCUUCCCAGGGGUGGGCGGGUUCGUUUCUAGAGUCACCGUGGCUCUCUAGCGCCCUUCAGAGGCAGAGAGUGGCAUCUCUCUUUCUUCCCAGGUUUUCCCCAGACAGUCUCAGCCCUGGUAUGCCAUCAUUGCGACUUAAGUGUGGAUUGUGUCAACCCAGAAACCUGUAAUGAAGGACAAUUUGUCUGUAUCUUGGACUUAAUUAAAGUUCCAAACUAUACCUCAGUUCAAAAGAUAUGCUUCUCAAGUUGUAAGGACUACCUUUUAUUAGAGAAUCCACAAAAAAAAGGCCGCAUUUCAAGCAAAAGCAAUGAAUCCCAUUGGCUCGAUCAACACAAUCUGCGUGCUGACUACCAUCAUCAUAAUGAAGUUGGAGUACACAAAGAAAAGGUCUCCCUGGAGCAUCUCAUUGUGUGCUGUGACAAAGACCUGUGUAACCAGGCCAGGAUCAGGAGUCCAGAAGGCUUAAUUCUUCUCUUUGGGCUCCUACUCAACUUCCUCCCCUCUUCAAUUCUGUGACAUUGUUAGACCCUUCUAAGACAAUUUUCUCAUAUUAAGAUCUCAUAGAAUAUUCAUAGUAAUUAAAAGUAAGUCGAAUUGACUUAUGCUGGACUUACACUCCGAUUUUGGUUUCUAAAUGUAUUUCUGGAAGGUUUAUCAGAGGACUUACCUGCUCAACUUGCCGAGCUGACAGAUUGGUCUUGUUUACCCUCUGAUUGUAUAUCAUCAGCUGGGGAUGAAUUGGUUGGCUCAGUAAGUCCUCUGGGCUAGAGCAGUUUGAUCCUUAAUGCUAGACCCCUAAAAGAGAGUCUAUGGGGCAGAUUUAUCUCUCCAUUUCCCCUUUUACAACAUAUAUGUCAGUACUCCUUG
rnacentral:lncRNA from 1 species